ACCACCUGAACCCAUGCCGAACUCAGAAGUGAAACGCCGUAGCGCCGAUGGUAGUGUGGGGUCUCCCCAUGCGAGAGUAGGACACUGCCAGGC
rnacentral:rRNA from 1 species